rfam:Felis catus isolate Cinnamon breed Abyssinian chromosome B3, whole genome shotgun sequence.
GCCUGGGUGGCUCAGUCGGUUGAGCGUCUGACUUGGGCUCAGGUAAUGAUCUCAUGGCUCAUGAGUUCGAGCCCCAUGUCGGGCU